CUGCUGUGAUGACCAUCUUAGGACACCUUUAGAUUAAACAUGAAACAAACCUUUGAAUCUGAGCGGU